AGAGUUUGAUCAUGGCUCAGAACGAACGCUGGCGGCGUGGCUAAGACAUGCAAGUCGAACGAACCGGUCAAUUGGGUAACUGAGAGAUCGGUUAGUGGCGAAAGGGUGAGGAAUAGAUAGGUAACGUACCCCGCACUUCGGGAUAGCGUCGGGUCCGCAAGGAUUCUACCGAAAGGGGCAUUAAUACCGAAUGAUGUGAUCUGUCGUAUGGCGGAUUUCCAAAGAUUUAUCGGUGCAGGAGCGGCCUAUCUCCUAUCAGCUAGUUGGUGAGGUAACGGCCCACCAAGGCUAUGACGGGUACCGGGACUGAGAGGUUGACCCGGCACAUCGGAACUGAGACACUGUCCGGACCUCCACGGAGGGCUGCAGUAACGAAUAUUGGGCAAUGGGCGAAAGCCUGACCCAGCGACGCCGCGUGUGGGAGGAAGUCCCUCGGGAUGUAAACCACUGUCAGGGAGAAGAAAGGUCGAAAGACUUGAUCUAUCCCAGAGGAAGCAACGGCUAACUUCGUGCCAGCAGCCGCGGUAAUACGAAGGUUGCAAGCGUUGUUCGGAAUCACUGGGCUUAAAGCGUAUGUAGGCGGAUGAGUAAGCGUUUUGUGAAAUACCUCGGCUUAACCGAGGAAUUGCUUGGCGAACUGCUCAUCUUGAGGCAAAUAGGGGUGCAUGGAACUCUUGGUGGAGCGGUGGAAUGCGUAGAUAUCAAGAGGAACGCCAGCGGCGAAAGCGGUGCACUGGAUUUGUCCUGGCGCUCAGAUACGAAAGCGUGGGGAGCAAACGGGAUUAGAUACCCCGGUAGUCCACGCCCUAAACGAUGCCUACUAGGUUGUAGAACCUCUGACGGUUUUACGGCCGAAGCAAAAGUGUUAAGUAGGCCGCCUGGGAAGUACGGUCGCAAGGCUAAAACUUAAAGGAAUUGACGG
rnacentral:rRNA from 1 species